rnacentral:rRNA from 1 species
CCUACGGGAGGCAGCAGUGGGGAAUAUUGGACAAUGGGGGCAACCCUGAUCCAGCAAUGCCGCGUGUGUGAAGAAGGCCUUCGGGUUGUAAAGCACUUUUGUCCGGAACGAAACGUGCGGGGUGAAUAGCCUCGUAAACUGACGGUACCGGAAGAAUCAGCACCGGCUAACUUCGUGCCAGCAGCCGCGGUAAUACGAAGGGUGCAAGCGUUACUCGGAAUUACUGGGCGUAAAGGGUGCGUAGGUGGUUUUUUAAGUCUGCCGUGAAAUCCCCGGGCUCAACCUGGGAAUGGCGGUGGAUACUGGAAAGCUGGAGUGCGGUAGAGGGUAGUGGAAUUCCCGGUGUAGCAGUGAAAUGCGUAGAGAUCGGGAGGAACACCAGUGGCGAAGGCGGCUACCUGGACCAGCACUGACACUGAGGCACGAAAGCGUGGGGAGCAAACAGGAUUAGAUACCCUGGUAGUCCACGCCCUAAACGAUGCGAACUGGAUGUUGGGUGCAACUUGGCACUCAGUAUCGAAGCUAACGCGUUAAGUUCGCCGCCUGGGGAGUACGGUCGCAAGACUGAAACUCAAAGGAAUUGACGGGG